GUUUUAAUAUCAAUUUUGAAUAAGUACCUGUUUGUCGUAAGUAUAACGGUGUCGUUCAAUUUUUAUUCAGUAGGGGUUACGGGGUUAGGACCAACUUUUUUUUUACGAUCAAUGCCUUUGAAUGUGGUAAUAUGAUUGGAACUUCAAUUUAUCCUGAGUUGGAACCCACUUUUUAAAAAAUUGCUGGAUCCGCCCAUGAAUAUUUCCUAAUUUCAUCAUAGAUACUUGUAUUUAAUAAGACUAUCCUUGAAUUAUCCUGGAUUUCCAACUUAACAUGACGUAAAAUUGAGAAUGGAAAUGAGGAAUGUGUCAAAGAGACAACAACCCGACUAAAGAGUCGAAAACAGCCGAAAGCCAC
rnacentral:lncRNA from 1 species